AGAGCGAACGCUGGCGGCAGGCCUAAUACAUGCAAGUCGAACGCACCUUCGGGUGAGUGGCGGACGGGUGAGUAACACGUGGGAACGUGCCUUUUGGUUCGGAAUAAUCCGGGGAAACCUGGCCUAAUACCGGAUGUGCCCUUCGGGGGAAAGAUUUAUCGCCAUUAGAGCGGCCCGCGUCUGAUUAGCUUGUUGGUGGGGUAAUGGCCCACCAAGGCUACGAUCAGUAGCUGGUCUGAGAGGAUGAUCAGCCACACUGGGACUGAGACACGGCCCAGACUCCUACGGGAGGCAGCAGUAGGGAAUCUUGCGCAAUGGGCGAAAGCCUGACGCAGCCAUGCCGCGUGAAUGAUGAAGGUCUUAGGAUUGUAAAAUUCUUCAGCGGGAAGAUAAUGACUGUACCGCAGAAGAAGCUCCGGCUAACUUCGCGCCAGCAGCCGC
rnacentral:rRNA from 1 species